AAGCCCAAGUUAAGUCACAGCAGGUGUACAGCUUAAUGAACUGCACUUGGGCAGCAGGUGAGCAUAAAUGGAGAGCACAGAGGGCAGGUUUUGGAAUGCUUCUGCAAGGGAAGAGCUGCAAUAAAUGUAUGAUGGAUGUAUGAGGGCAGAGACAGAUGGAAACUGAAGAUACCCUUAGACCUGAUGCAAGUACAGAUGUGAAUGGGGGGUGUAUUGAUACCUGUGUAUCUGUAAACAUUGUGCACACUGUGCUCCUUUCAGGUAAUUCCCAAGAAUGGUGUGAAGAAAAUCAAGUGGCAGUUCAACCGUGCUUAAAGAACAACUUCAAGCUUUUCAGGUAGCCUGCCACAGAGAGAAAACAGGAGACAGACAUACUGUAUGAACAAACCAAUUGCACAAAGCAACCUGAACACAGCAGAGACUGGGGAGCUUCAAAGAUCCAUGCUGGGAAUUGCAGGUUACCUGGAACCUGGUGAAAAUGCUGCAGCAGCCUGACAGGGACACCUUUGCUGGUGUAUAUUGUCCUUCGUCAGGUCAAAGGGAUUCAGGAGAUAUCAUGGAUGUACCGGGAGCCAUUUGGCUGUUUCUGCUCCAGUGGCUUGGCAGGUAGCUCCUCAGAGGACAAACCCACGGAGAGGGGCUGCCUGGUGCUUUUGGUUCCUUUUCUAAACCAUACCAUGCCCUGCUUACAGUUUCCAUGUACUCACAUUGAAUAAUAUGAAGGAUGUAUCCCAUCGUCAGCUUGUAGGAGAAAUCAUAUUUGGAAAACAUGGGUGAUAACUCCCUUAACAGAUUCUCUGCUAGUCACCAGGUUCAUUUGGGAAACAAGAGCAUGGAAAUCUUGCCCAGGAAUAUCUACUGUUGCUUGGCUUGUCCGGCAGAAUGCACCCAGUCAGAGGCACAGACGUAUCCUACUUUCUGUGGAACGGGAGCCAGACCUGGAAGGCCACACAGAAGUCCAGUCCUCUGAGGGAGCUUGUCACAAAUGACCCCUAAUGUCCAGUGGGGAAAAACAGUGCAGAGUUUGUAUGAGUAUGAAUCAAAAUACUUUCCCACUGUGCCCACAGCAAAGGUUGCUAAAUUUAUCAUGACUUAUCUUCCCAGAUCUGUCAGUAUGGCAAUAGUGCGGUUCACAACAUCUGGACAUAUCUGCCUGGUGAUUUGGGAACAAAGAGCUGCUCCACCACUGCAUCACUGACCUCAGCAUCAGCCUAAAAGAGAUUUUGGCACAGUGUGUACCAUGCUGUCUGUCCCCUGUAUGGUGAGAGGACUCCUCUGAGGACCACCAGCAUCUGGGACAUGUGGCAGGAGUUUGAGCUUCAACCCAUUCUUGCUGCCUUCAGUGAUUCAGUAACUGAGAACUGAUUGAACUCAACUGUGCAUGCAGGAGGGGCAGGUGUUGGUACCUUGCUCAUCAAAUCCAUGCCAACUGAAUCAAAAGAACCAUCAAUGAGACCUUGUGAUGUACCUUUCUAGCCUCACUGUCAUCUUGCUGCCAAAUUCCAACCUCCUGCUCCAAACCUUCACAGUGAUCGCUAGCUGGUGGGGAAAGCUGCCUCCGCUGCUCGCUUUUGUUCUGGAAAAAACCCAGCCUCUUAGGGAUAUUUCCUAGUCAACCUCAGGCAGAGGAAGCGGCAUGGAAGUUUUCAGCCCUUAAAAGUUAAAGGUCUGACAGAGUUACAAGCAACUGGGAAUGGUGCGUAUGAUGGAAAGUUUUAGUCUGGUGUAACAAUGGAUGGAGCAGUAGCAAUACCUAUAAUUAUAGUUGUAAGUGACAAAACAGAAAGGAAAACUACAUUCCAAGUGAUUUAAAACCAAGUGAUUGUUUUAAACCUGGGCCAGAUUGUCCCCUCCCACAUUAAUACACCCAGGAGGGGAUUUCUGCUUGGAAACAGCUACAUGGGGGGAUCCACAGACCUCUCCUGGACUGACUCAUCCCAGAGGCACAAUCUCUCUUUUUGCUUCCCAAAAGGAGUAAAUUUUCCCUUCCAGGUGGGCAUGCAGAUGUAUGAGCUAAAUUGUUUUAGGUCGUGCCCCAAGUUCUUUCUGAUCCAACCCUUUCCUUCACUCCUCCUCCCAGUUAUCCUGUUUUCUUCGGAGACACCCUUGUAGCAUGUUGGUUUGUUGGGAACAGUCUCCAGAAUGGAAAAGGGAGAGAGAUGGAAACUACACAGCCUCCAGCCCUUGGGGCUGAUCCCACCUCCCAGCACAGGUUAUACAAAGAGGGAAAGGGGCAGCAGAGAUGGGUGUAAAAAGCAGGUCUGGCUUUAAUGCAGGGAAACACCUGUAUAGCGUGAAAAAUACUGAUACCUGGCUGCUGGUUUGCUGUCUUCUUAAAAUAUUACAACUGCUGUUCUGAGGUAGCGAGGAAAGUAAAUA